rnacentral:rRNA from 1 species
AGACUACCUGCUGAACUUAAGCAUAUCAGUAAGCAGAGGAAAAGAAAACAACUGUGAUUCCCUUAGUAACUGCGAGUGAAGCGGGAUAAGCCCAUCGUUUAAUCUUCCCGGACUGUGGACGGGACGACAUGUAACGGUAUGGAUAGGUUCUCUAUCAACUCUGGCUGGUCAAAGUCCUCCGGAUUGAGGUGCCAAAGAGGGUGACAGCCCCGUGUGUGACUGGAAAGAGUUGAGUAUGUGGCCGAUUCCGAGAGUCGGGUUGUUUGGGACUGCAACCUAAAGCAGGUGGUAAACUCCACCCAAGGCUAAAUAUUGACACGAAACCGAAAGCGAAUAAGUACUGUGAAGGAAAGUUGAAAAGAACUCUGAAAAGAGAGUUAAAAGUACGUGAAACCGCUAACGGGGAAGCGGAAGGCAGUGUCGAGAUUGGGUGAGUGAGUUGUCUCAAGUUGGUUUUUAAUUAAUUUGGGGCGACUAGCUUUGCUCGAUGCGUCAGGACUAUUGGUGUGCGGUGGCUCAAUUGUCGGCAUGGCUUCCACGACACUCAUGCGCAUGAACUUGUGUGUGGGCUCGUGGUUGCGGCAGGCAAUCCGCCUCGUGCGCUGAUAUGGAUGUGGUGAGGCGUUGGUGAUGUAGUGUCGGUUGGUGUUGUGUGGUGCUCCGCGUAGUCACAGCGUGGCUACGUGUGGAGAAGUCAUGUGAUAGUUCAACAACCAGUGCCAGGGCCUGACGUGAUACCUAACCUUCCGACCCGUCUUGAAACACGGACCAAGGAGGCAGAAUCUAGAGCGAGUUGGAGGGUGGAAAACCCGACGGCGUAGUGAAAGCGAGAGAUGAGACCUCAUGGCCUCGGCUGUGGGGGCAUCAUCGGCCAGUCAUCUUGAGGUGAUUGAGUUUGAGCUGUAGAUGCUGGACCCGAAAGAUGGUGAACUAUGCGUGAGCAGGGCGAAGCCAGAGGAAACUCUGGUGGAGGCUCGUANCGAUUCUGACGUGCAAAUCGAUCGUUUGACUUGCGUAUAGGGGCGAUAGACUAAUCGAACCAUCUAGUAGCUGGUUCCCUUCGAAAUAUCCCU